GAGAACACGAAGAAAAGGACUAGUAUGUAAUAUACUUAUAUUGAGAGAGGAAGAGACUGGUGGAAAUCUUCUUAUAAGAUAUUAUUGAAUUCACCUUGGAGUGCGGCUAAUCCCCGCCGUAACACUGACGUUAUAAGUGAUAAAGUGCAUAUAGUGUAUACUAUAUGAAUUUAGGAUGGUACCGCGAUUUAAGUCGUUCCUAUU
rnacentral:ncRNA from 1 species